CUCACACACAUCCAUGAGGGAAGAAUCAUUCCCAUUUAACAGACAAUGUAACUGGGCCUGAAUAUAGCUCAGCGACUUGCCCCAGGCCCACCAGGAAGUGGAUAAAGCCAUGCUCAACCCAGCACUUCUUCUCUCUACCUUCCACCGAUCCUGCCUGCUCAUCUUCCCUCCUUGGUGAAGGUUAAACAACAUUGUAACAGGACUGAUAACACCAUGAAUGAGAAGUCAUUUGAUCAAUGGGUAAGUGUCUCAUGAGAAAGAGACUUUUAGUAGGCCUGAAAUCUGUCUUUGGGGGUCAUAGAUGCUCUCUGUAGGAGUCCUUCCAAGGCUAAACUCUUAUCAAGAUCCCUUUUGUCCAGUCCAAAUAUAAAAGCAUGGCCACUAUGUCCAGGCAUGGUGCUCCAC
rnacentral:lncRNA from 1 species